rnacentral:rRNA from 1 species
AGCCCCCUUCAAGAUGAGAUUUCCCAUUACGCAAGUAAGUAAGAUCCCUCAAAGAUGAUGAGGUGGAUAGGUCUGGGGUGGAAGCACGGCGACGUGUGCAGCUGACAGAUACUAAUCGAUCGAGGACUUAACCUAU